rnacentral:rRNA from 1 species
UCCGUAGGUGAACCUGCGGAAGGAUCAUUAAUGAUUGAACGUCUGUCGAGCUUGCUCACAGGCACAUCAUAUCCAUAACACCUGUGCACUUGUCGGAUGGCUUAGUGAAGACCGCAAGGUUGGAACUAUCCGUCUACUUUACAUAACAAUUCUGUAACAAAUGUAGUCUUAUUAUAACAUAAUAAAACUUUCAACAACGGAUCUCUUGGCUCUCGCAUCGAUGAAGAACGCAGCGAAAUGCGAUAAGUAAUGUGAAUUGCAGAAUUCAGUGAAUCAUCGAAUCUUUGAACGCACCUUGCGCUCCUUGGUAUUCCGAGGAGCAUGCCUGUUUGAGUGUCAUGAAAACCCUCAACCUUAGAUUGGUUAAAACCUUUCUUUGGCUUGGAUUUGGACGUUUGCCGAUGAUAAGUCGGCUCGUCUUAAAAGUAAUAGCUGGAUCUGUCUCGCGACAUGGUUUGACUUGGCGUAAUAAGUAUUUCGCUAAGGACAUCUUCGGAUGGCCGCGUUGCAAGACUAAAGACCGCUUUCUAAUCCAUUGAUCUUCGGAUUAAUAUUCUUGACAUCUGGCCUCAAAUCAGGUAGGACUACCCGCUGAACUUAAGCAUAUCAAUAAGCGGAGGA